rnacentral:rRNA from 1 species
GAUGAACGCUGGCGGCGUGCCUAAUACAUGCAAGUCGAACGAAACUUCUUUAUCACCGAGUGCUUGCACUCACCGAUAAAGAGUUGAGUGGCGAACGGGUGAGUAACACGUGGGCAACCUGCCCAAAAGAGGGGGAUAACACUUGGAAACAGGUGCUAAUACCGCAUAACCAUAGUUACCGCAUGGUAACUAUGUACAAGGUGGCUAUACUACCGCUUUUGGAUGGGCCCGCGGCGCAUUAGCUAGUUGGUAGGGUAAAGGCUUACCAAGGCAAUGAUGCGUAGCCGAAUUGAGAGGUUGAUCGGCCACAUUGGGACUGAGACACGGCCCAAACUCCUACGGGAGGCAGCAGUAGGGAAUAUUCCACAAUGGGCGAAAGCCUGAUGGAGCAACGCCGCGUGGGUGAAGAAGGUCUUCGGAUCGUAAAACCCUGUUGUUAGAGAAGAAAGUGCGUGAGAGUAACUGUUCACGUUUCGACGGUAUCUAACCAGAAAGCCACGGCUAACUACGUG